GAUUGAGGGUUACUACUACCACAGGAGCUCGGAAUGGUAUCAGUCACUCAACCUGAGCCACGUCCGAGAGCACAGUAUUCCCAUCUAUGAAUUCCGCUGAAAAAGAUGACGUGUUUGUCACGGAGGGCUCAAAUUCACGCCGCCCUGGUCUUCAAAUGGGAUGCAAAAAAAUUUAAAUAAAUAAAUACGGAUGGCGAGAGAGCCACUGGCUGCCGAGAAGGGAGCCUGGAUCCCACUCGGUAUCUCGCACGCUGCAAGGCGCUCCUUGAGUCCUGCGGAAGAGCGAUGGGCCAAUGGAUACAAUGAACAGGUGUCACAGUGGCCACAAGACCUGCUGAUGUCCACCUUUCACUUGUAAACUGGCUUGAUUUUUUUUUUUUUUAAUUGUUUUACACAUGCUACUUCUACUCACAAGAAAGACAACUUUGCCUUUUGAAGUUGAAGUAACUAAGACAUGACAAGAUGGUUUUCAGUCAAAUCUAAAUAAUUUAAUCUAGUGCAGUAACACAUUGAUUUUAAAUGAAGAUUAUCAACCAUCAUCGGCCAAUGAUUAAGAACCCGUUUCCAUAUUGUCAUGAUACAGCAAAUAGUUGUAAUUUUUUUUUUAACCAACAGAGAAAGCAGUUUACAGUAUGAAGGUUUUUUUUAAGGUUUUUUUGAAAUUCAGUCACGUAACGUCACAUUCCAGUUGCGUCGUCAUUUUUGCGGCAGGAAAGUUGUUGCGCAACGCAAUUUUAAUCCAGUUCAUGUGACUGUCCUGGAAAAGUAGUCGUAAAGAUUUCAUAAUUUAACAGGGAAAGUUACUUUGUGAAGACAUUGGAGGCUGUGUAAUAAACGUUCAGUGUUUUGAAAGCUUCACUAAAAAAAGAUUUAAAAUUGUUUUCCAAACUUUGUAAUGCCUCUCAAUUUUGUCGGAAUUUGGGGAGGUUUGGAUCUGUUUCAAGUGGUACUGACGACAAAAUCCACGCAGUUUGACACUUUUUGGGAUUGAUCACACCACACUGAAAAUUUGUUGGAUUCAUCUGUACCAAAUGUGGGGGGGAAUAAAUAACUGAUUUCUG